GAUGAAGAACGUAGCGAAAUGCGAUAAGUAGUGUGAAUUGCAGAAUUCAGUGAAUCAUCGAAUCUUUGAACGCACAUUGCGCCCCUUGGUAUUCCAUGGGGCAUGCCUGUUCGAGCGUCAUUUGUACCUUCAAGCUCUGCUUGGUGUUGGGUGUUUGUCUCGCCUUGCGCGUAGACUCGCCUUAAAACAAUUGGCAGCCGGCGUAUUGAUUUCGGAGCGCAGUACAUCUCGCGCUUUGCACUCAUAACGACGACGUCCAAAAGUACUUUUUACACUCUUGACCUCGGAUCAGGUAGGGAUAGCCGCUGAACUUAAGCAUAUCAAUAAGCGGAGGA
rnacentral:misc_RNA from 1 species